rnacentral:rRNA from 1 species
AGACACAGCAGGAGCUCGUGCAGACUCGCUUGAAGUUUGGAGCUCGAUGCAAGCUCACAGGCAGAGAUUCAAGGCGCAACAACUUACCUAUGCAUGAUGAAGUGCCAGAAGCUGCUUCCAUGCUCGAGAACACAGUUGAUGCAUGCUGAUCCACAGAGAGAGCAAUUUUCUAUCAAUCCUGAUCUAUUCUCAUGUGAUCUAGGGGGCAACAUUGACAAUGUAGUAGAUGGGAAGGAGAAAGGAUGUAGCCGGAAAGAUAUUUUGGCGAUUAUCUGUUGUUACACAAGAGAAAAAAAGUUUGUUUUGCUGAUUAUCUAGAACAAAUUAGAGAGGUACGCUGUGUUUUAUUGAGUCCAA